rnacentral:snRNA from 1 species
GUGCUUGCUUCAGCAGCACAUAUGCUAAAAACUGAAACAACAUAGAGAAGACUAGCAUUGGCCCCUGAGCAAGGAUGACACAUCUUUCAAAAAAUAAGAUAU